rnacentral:rRNA from 1 species
UACAGAGGGUGCGAGCGUUAAUCGGAAUUACUGGGCGUAAAGCGUGCGUAGACGGUUAUUUAAGUCGGGUGUGAAAGCCCCGGGCUCAACCUGGGAAUUGCAUUCGAGACUGAAUAGCUAGGGUACGGUAGAGGGAAGCGGAAUUUCCGGUGUAGCGGUGAAAUGCGUAGAUAUCGGAAGGAACAUCAGUGGCGAAGGCGACUUCCUGGCCUGUUCUUGACGCUGAGG